GCCGCGUUCGUCUAUCGGUUAGGACACCUCCCUUUCACGGAGGUAAGAGGGGUUCGAUUCCCCUACGCGGUA
rnacentral:tRNA from 1 species